UCAUUGUCUGCAAGCAUGUUUUCUAUCACGUCAUUAAGCACUGUUUUAACAGCUGCUUUAAAAUAUUUUCUUGAUACUUCCAACUUCUGCAUCAUCCUUAUAUUGGGCUGCAUUGAUGGCCCUUUUUUUAGAAUUGGUCAUCUUUUUCUGGUUUUUCAUGUAAGUCACUUGAGAUUAUAUACCAUAAUUGUAAAAGUUAUAUUGAGAAGUCUCUUUUCUCUUAUAUUUCUCCAAAAAAAGUGUUCUUUCUUUCUCUCUCUCUUUCUUUUUUUUCUUUCUUUCUUCCUCUUUCUUCUUUCUCUCUCUCUCUCUCUCUCUUUUUUAAUGGAUUUCCUCUGUCAGCUGGGGUUACAGGUGUGUGCCACCAUCACCAGCUAAUCUUUUGUAUUUUUGAUGGGAUUUUGCCAUGUUGGCCAGAUUGGUCUCAAACUGGCCUCAAGCAAUCUGCUCCCCUCAGCCUUCCAAAGCAUUGGGAUUACAGACGUGAGCCACUGCACUUGGCCAAUUUUCCUUCCUUAGCAAGGAAUUGGUGUAGUUGGACUUAAAUUUAAAUCUCUAUCUUUGGGGUAGCAGGUCAAACCUCAGUCCUGUUCUCUCAUUGUUACCGUAACCUGGCUUGUGCUUGCAUCAGUCAGAGAUUUAGGGGAAAAAAAUAUACACAGAAGUUAAGAGUAUCUCCUCCAUGUUUUUUAUUUUAUAAAAUUGAUUCUUCAUUUUCAGCGUCUGUGGUCCUCCUAACUCUAUUCUCCAUUACUGAGGCACGGUGGCUUAUGCCUAUAAUCCCAGCACUUUGGGAGGCUGAGGCAGGCAGAUCACAAGGUCAGGAGAUGGAGACCAUUCUGGCUAACAUGGUGAAACUCUGCCUCUACUAAAAUACAAAAAAUUAGUUAGGUGUGGUGGCAGACACCUGUAGUCCCAGCUACUCUGGGGUAGGCUGAUGCAGGAGAAUCACUUGAACUGGGGAGGCAGAGGUUGCAGUGAGUCAAGAUCAUGUUACUACACUCCAGCCUGGUGACAGAGCAAAACUCUGUCCAAAAAAAAGGCUGAAAGUUUUUUAUUCACAUUUUACUCACUCUACAUAGGACUAAGAUUGGCCUAAGGCUAACAAUUGUAAAAAUGAUUAACUUUUGCCCUGCCAUAACUUCUUUGAAGUGUCAUCUCCCCUCCAAGAUUAAGAUGUACAACUUUCAACAAACAAGUAAGAGGUAUAUGAAAAGACCGCACACAAAAACCAAACACACUCCUGAGAAUAAAGAGGGAUACUAUAUAAAAAUAAAGGACUUGUAUACUAGGCUGUUUCAGUAAAGUAUCACAGAGUAGGUAGCUUAAGCAACAGAAAUUUAUUUUUCACUGUUCUAAAGCCUAGAAGUCCAAGAUCAAGGUGUUGGCAGGUUUGGUUUCUUCUCAGGCAUCCCUCCUUGGUUUUCAGAUGACCACCCUUUUGCUGUACCUUCACAUGACAUUUCUUCAAUAUGUGUACAUCUCUGAUGUCUCUGCAUGUCCAAAUUUCUUCUUCUUUCAAAGACAUUGUCAGAUUGGAUUAGGGCCCACCCCAAUGGCCUCAUUAAAUCAAAUCUAUUUUGACAUAUGCAUAUAGAAGUUCCUGGAUUUCAGUGCUGAGGAUAUAGAGGCUACUGGAAUCCAUAUGUUUGCCUCUGAGGUCUUCUCUGGAAGAGGUCUCUGAUGAAGAGAACAAAAUUCUUGCUUGAUAUCACAGCUUGAGUAAGAGGAACGGGAUAAGUUCUUGGCAGCCACCAGCUGCCAGGAGAUGGCUGAAAUAUAUUACUGGGAAAUUCAAGGCUAAUCAAUAGAAUUAUCUGAAGAUAAACUCUCUGGGACAUCAAAUUGCGUUUAUCAAAUUGUCAUGCCCUGUUUGAGUCACAGUUUGUGUUAGUCAGAGAUGCAGUGAAGUCUAAGGAGGAUGGGGAAGAGUGAUUGGUGGUAGAGAUAAAAGACAAAUGAAUCAGUGGGAUCAAUGGAGAGGACCAAGUUUGGUGAGAAGACAAUACCAUGACAGAAGGUGUCCAGAGACAGUGAGACACAGAUAACAGGAACAGGAUCCUGUUCCAUGCUCCAGGAAAAGCAUGGAAAAGGCAAGUGGUAAGGGCAGAAGACAGUUCUACAAGAACAUGAAGUCCAGUCAUGCAAAGGGCAGGGGAGGCAGAAACACAGUGGUGAAGGUCAGCCAGAGAGAAGAUGUGGGGAGCAAGGACUCAUGGUAGAGAAGACCCUGGUUUACCAAGAUGAGAAAGUCAACUGUGAAGGUGAACUAAGAACACAUGAGGGAUGAGUGGAACCCAGGGGCCAGAAAGUCUUUGAAGGUAGACGAUAUAAGACAAUUUAUGGGCAGGAAGAAAAACAUUAGUGAAAAUAUGCAGGCCAGUGUCAGAGGGACCUCAGCAGAGAGAAGGCCAGUUAUGUGAGUUAAAGGAGUGCUGCAGGAACAGGACCCAGUGUGAAGAUUAUGA